AGAGUUUGAUCCUGGCUCAGGACGAACGCUGGCGGCGCGCCUAACACAUGCAAGUCGAACGGGGUUCACCCUUCGGGAUGGACUUAGUGGCGGACGGGUGAGUAACACGUGAGGAACCUGCCUUCGAGAGUGGGAUACCGUCUGGAAACGGACGUUAAUACCGCAUAAUGCAGCGAGGCCACAUGACCUUGCUGCCAAAGAUUUAUCGCUCGGAGAUGGCCUCGCGCCUGAUUAGAUAGUUGGCGGGGUAAUGGCCCACCAAGUCUACGAUCAGUAGCCGGACUGAGAGGUCGAACGGCCACAUUGGGACUGAGAUACGGCCCAGACUCCUACGGGAGGCAGCAGUGGGGGAUAUUGCACAAUGGGCGAAAGCCUGAUGCAGCGACGCCGCGUGAGGGAAGACGGUUUUCGGAUUGUAAACCUCUGUCUUCGGGGACGAAACAAGACGGUACCCGAGGAGGAAGCCACGGCUAACUACGUGCCAGCAGCCGCGGUAAUACGUAGGUGGCAAGCGUUGUCCGGAAUUACUGGGUGUAAAGGGAGUGUAGGCGGGACUUCAAGUCCGUUGUUAAACCGAUCGGCUCAACUGAUCGCUGCGGCGGAAACUGAAGUUCUUGAGUGAGGUAGAGGCAGGCGGAAUUCCCAGUGUAGCGGUGAAAUGCGUAGAUAUUGGGAGGAACACCAGUGGCGAAGGCGGCCUGCUGGGCCUUAACUGACGCUGAGGCUCGAAAGUGUGGGGAGCAAACAGGAUUAGAUACCCUGGUAGUCCACACUGUAAACG
rnacentral:rRNA from 1 species